rnacentral:misc_RNA from 1 species
UAAUAGAUCGUUUACGUGAGGGAUAGUAGCGAAAAGCCCGCAGCGAGGAACGAGCGAGGACUUGUAGCGGAUAGCCCGACCCGUU